UUUUUCAGGAUGCAAAUCAAAUCUUACAUGGCUCACUAUUAAUGGAAUAUCAUAUUAUUUCCAUAACAUACCUACCAUUGCUAGUGCCAUGAUGUAUAUUCCUCCAAAAUUGCCACUAGACGAUUAUCAGUUACCCAUAGAAAAUAUAACUGCGUUGAUAAAAGCUAGAAAGAAUAUGUUCAAACAUCUUAGAUUACAAGAAAAGGACAUUACCCAUACACUAGUUGCCACCCACGUUCUCAAGACUGAACUAUUGAAAGUAAAUUUUCAAAUCCAGGAUGAUUUGGCUCAUCACUGGUAUGAUAUAUUCACAGGUUGGUCCCCUACAGGUGCUCAAAUUGUUAGAUCAUUCUUUUAUCUGUUGGUGAUUGUUGUAUUUGUAAUGCUACUUAUGAUUCUGUACAAUUGUUAUCUUACCUGUACCCAGAAAAAUAAGAUUCCAAGGUUGAUUACUACUGCCGAGGACAAACAACUGGAUACUCUCCUCCGUGUUAGGUCAUAGGGUAUCGUCCUGAGGGAACUGUGGUAAAGAACUAACUAAAGUCCUGCAGGGUUGACUAGCAAUCCUGAAUAUACCUCAUGGACUUCAUAUGUAUAUAGAUGUGAUCAAUAGAUUGAUCAAAGAGGGGAUUGAAGGGUUAAAACCCAACACAUUGUCUGUAUUCAUACUGACUCUAUUUUAUCACAAGACACUUUUAACUAAGUCAUUUCCUUGACCUUUCCCCUUGUGAUUCAAGAGGAUCUUGGGAUUCAGUAUUUGGCUCAAUACCCAUCAGUGUUUUGUGAUUUCCCAUGUGUUUGGAGUUUCCCAUCAUAUGCCUUUUGGAUUUGAAUAGG